UGAUUGAUUGAUUGAUUGAUUGAUUGAUUGAUUGAUGGUGUUUGGAUGACAAUCUUAAUAAGAAGGCAGAUUUUGUUGGAGGAGGAAUACAGCCGGGUAACUGACAAUUCAUGUCAUUUAAAGAUUAUGGCACGGGGUUUGAACAAACAACCUCAUGGUUGUGCUUACAUGCAUGUGAUACAGAAGAUGACAUAUUUAGACCACUCGACCACAUAAGCCAUACAUUUUAACGUAUUUGACAACGGAUUUACAG
rnacentral:lncRNA from 1 species